rfam:Aspergillus lentulus DNA, contig: Alt04, strain: IFM 54703.
CACCGCCCAUCGCUACUACCGAUUGAAUGGCUCGGUGAGGCCUUCGGAUUGGCUCAGGGGAGUUGGCAACGACUCCCCAGAGCCGGAAAGCUGGUCAAACCCGGUCAUUUAGAGGAAGUAAAAGUCGUGACAAGGUUUCCGUAGGUGAACCUGCGGCAG